GAAUUUUAUAUAAUUUUAUUAAGUAAGUUAGUUUAGUGGAGUUAGAUUGGUAAGCUUAUAUUUUAUUGGGAGGAUAGUUAAAUUAAAUAAACUUUAAUAAUUAUUAAGUCAUAGAUUUAUGAAAUAAAAAUAAAUGAGAAUGGUUAUUGAUUAAUUUAAAUAGAAUUAAUUACCUUAGGGAUAACAGCGUAAUAUUUUUAGAGAGAUCUUAUUAAUAAAGAUGAUUGC
rnacentral:rRNA from 1 species